UGGGGAAUAUUGCACAAUGGGCGCAAGCCUGAUGCAGCCAUGCCGCGUGUGUGAAGAAGGCCUUCGGGUUGUAAAGCACUUUCAGCGAGGAGGAAGGCAUUAAGGUUAAUAACCUUAGUGAUUGACGUUACUCGCAGAAGAAGCACCGGCUAACUCCGUGCCAGCAGCCGCGGUAAUACGGAGGGUGCAAGCGUUAAUCGGAAUUACUGGGCGUAAAGCGCACGCAGGCGGUUUGUUAAGUCAGAUGUGAAAUCCCCGAGCUUAACUUGGGAGCUGCAUUUGAAACUGGCAAGCUAGAGUCUUGUAGAGG
rnacentral:rRNA from 1 species